rnacentral:rRNA from 1 species
GCCCAUGGCCCUACUACCCUGGAUGUACCCGAGCUCAUUUGCUCUUGUGAAGCUAAGCAGGGUCAGACUUGGUUAGUACUUGGAUGGGAGAAUGCUAGGGGAUACUGGGUGUUGUAGGCU